GCGUGGGUAGUAUAAUGGUUAUUAUCUCGGUUUCCCAUCACCUGGUCCCGAUAAUGGGGAGACUUCCUACCGAGGAACCGGGUUCGAUUCCCGGCUCACGCA